rnacentral:sRNA from 1 species
UAUAAUAAACCCAUCAACAGAUAUAGUACAUGGCUGUUUACAGACAAUGCACUAUAUCUGUUGGAUGGGUAAACAGACAUGAGCAAAAAGGGCGACAGCCCGAUUUGCGAAUGUAUGUUGUGAUUUCGGGAGUGCUUCUUACCCUCAUAUCAUAAUACAUAUUAUC